rnacentral:rRNA from 1 species
AGUUUGAUCCUGGCUCAGAUUGAACGCUGGCGGCAUGCCUUACACAUGCAAGUCGAACGGUAACAGGUCUUCGGAUGCUGACGAGUGGCGAACGGGUGAGUAAUACAUCGGAACGUGCCCGAUCGUGGGGGAUAACGCAGCGAAAGCUGUGCUAAUACCGCAUACGAUCUACGGAUGAAAGCGGGGGAUCGCAAGACCUCGCGCGGACGGAGCGGCCGAUGGCAGAUUAGGUAGUUGGUGGGAUAAAAGCUUACCAAGCCGACGAUCUGUAGCUGGUCUGAGAGGACGACCAGCCACACUGGGACUGAGACACGGCCCAGACUCCUACGGGAGGCAGCAGUGGGGAAUUUUGGACAAUGGGCGAAAGCCUGAUCCAGCCAUGCCGCGUGCAGGAUGAAGGCCUUCGGGUUGUAAACUGCUUUUGUACGGAACGAAAAAGUCUUCUCUAAUACAGGGGGCGGAUGACGGUACCGUAAGAAUAAGCACCGGCUAACUACGUGCCAGCAGCCGCGGUAAUACGUAGGGUGCGAGCGUUAAUCGGAAUUACUGGGCGUAAAGCGUGCGCAGGGGGAUUGUUAAGCAAGACGUGAAAGCCCCGGGCUUAACCUGGGAAUGGCGUUUUGAACUGGCAGUCUAGAGUGCGUCAGGGGGGGGUGGAAUUCCACGUGUAGCAGUGAAAUGCGUAGAGAUGUGGAGGGACACCAAUGGCGAAGGCAGCCCCCUGAGAUGACACUGACGCUCAUGUACGAAAGCGUGGGUAGCAAACAGGAUUAGAUACCCCGGUAGUCCACGCCCUAAACGAUGUCAACUGGUUGUUGGGGGAGUGAAAUCCCUUAGUAACGAAGCUAACGCGUGAAGUUGACCGCCUGGGGAGUACGGUCGCAAGAUUAAAACUCAAAGGAAUUGACGGGGACCCGCACAAGCGGUGGAUGAUGUGGAUUAAUUCGAUGCAACGCGAAAACCUUACCUACCCUUGACAUGUCCGGAAUCCUGCAGAGAUGCGGGAGUGCCGGAAAGGGAAUCGAACACAGGUGCUGCAUGGCUGUCGUCAGCUCGUGUCGUGAGAUGUGGGUAGUCCGCACGAGCGCACCCUAUCAUAGUGCUACGCAGGGCACUCUAUGAACUGCGUACCACUGAAGCAGUGGUAUGACGUCAGUCUCAUGCUUAUGGUAGUCUUCAACGUCAUAUCAAUUGGUUG